ACAGUGCUCACACUAACAGCCUCGAGUAUGUUUCCAAGCAGUGGGUGAGCAGGGCCUGAGAACUUGUCCCAGGCUACCUGCCUCCCAGCUGUGAAAAAAAAGGGCUUGGUUCUUCCCCCACCUAUGGAGUCUGCACACCAGUUUCAUGCCUUCCCCCGACUUCUAGCCAGGAGAGUUUUUAUCCAGUUCAAAUUGUUACAAAGUUUAGCUGGAGAUUUCCUUCUCCCUGUGGCAUUUUCCUCCCGCUCCUCUGGCUGCCCUCUCCAAGGAUCCCUGUGGUGCCAGGCAGGAAUGGGCUGCUUGGGGACCCAGGGAGUUCCCAAGGACUUUCCUGCUGCUUCCUCUACCGCUGUAUUUCGUUCGGCUGUCUAGAUUGACCCAGCUUCAGGCCCUCUGUGCAUGCCAUGCUUAAUAAGGUAAUAAAAAGGUAAGAUUAUAAAGAAGGAAGAGGCCUAUCAAGGAAAAAAGGCUCUUUAUUUGCUUUGCUGUCAUGGUAUCCUUCCCAUUCCACUGGCUUCCAGCACAUAUGUGUUUCCUGCAAGACCCCAUCAGCUUCAACAGGGAUGGCACCAGGUUCAAGAGCCUGAAGAAGAGACCCAGAGCCAACAAAUGAGGCAUAGCGUUUUACUUGGGGGAACUUACAUACAAGGACACUCCAGUGGCAGCAGGCUGGACAGGAGAAUUUCAGCUGCUUGUAAAAAGCAUGCAGUUUAUAUAGGAUUUUCACCUAGCACCUGCCUCCAUGUAACCUCCAUGUGGCAACUCCUAUUUCUUAAGUUAUUGCUGUCAGGUGCAUCUGUGAUACAACUAGACCCCCAGUUUUCAGCUGGGCACACGGCCUUAUAAAAUAAAGUUUGUGGCCUAGCGCAGUGGCUCAUGCCUGUAACCUGAGCACUUUGGGAGGCCGAGGUAGGUGGAUCACUUGAGGUCGGGAGUUCAAGACUAGCUUGGCCAACAGGGUGAAACGUUGUCUCUACUAAAAAUACAAAAAUUAGCUGGGUGUGGUGGCAUGUGCCUGUAAUCCCAGCUCCUCAGGAGGCUGAGGUAGGAGAAUUGCUUGAAUCCAGGAGGCGGAGGUUGCAGUGAGCCAAGAUUGCAUCAUUGCACUCCAGCAUGGGCAACAGAGUGAGACUCCAUCUCAAAAAAAAAAAAAAAAAAAAAAAAAAAAAAAAAAAAACAAGAAAAAAAUUGUAUUUCUUAGCCUUAUUUACAACUAGGGGCCAUGAUGUUACUAAAUUCUGAACAAUGGAAUGUAAAUGGAAGAGGUGUAUAUGAUUUAAGGGACAUGUUCGUAGGAUUUGUUCUUUUACUUCUUCAUCCUCGUCUUACAGGCUGGAAUGCAGAGGUAAUGACUGGAGCUUGAGCUGCCCUCUGGGAUCAUGAUACAAAAAAGCAAAUUCGACAAUACAAAACAAUAUAGAGAGCAAUAGAAAAUUUAAAAGUAAAACAAAACACACUAAACAACAAAAUAACUAUAAUCCAUAUGUUUAUUAUACAAAAGCAGAUAUUGUAUCCAUAAAACAAUAAGAUAGCCUUAUCAAAAGCAAGAAUAAUAAAAACCAACAACAGAAGCCAACAACAACAAAUAAACAAAAGGCAACAUGAGAUAACCAGGCAGAACUCCCAGAAUGCAAAAAUAUACAGCAGAAAUGAGAAAAAGAUCAGGUGAAAAGUCGGAAGCUAAAGUUGAAGAAAUCUGCCAGAAAGUAUGAAAUGACAAAAAGGUAUAAAACUGGAGGGGAGACUCAAUUUAAGAGCCCUGACUCUUAAUUUGACAAUGUUAGAAUGAAAUAAAAGAGACAAUGGGAGGAGACAUCAAGGAAAUAAUUUAAUAAAACUUUUCAGAAUGGAAAAGCUGCAUUUUUUUGGUUUUGUUAUUAAGUAAUUUCAGCUUUUAUUUUAGAUUCAGAAGAUACAUGUGCAGGUUUAAUACCUGGGUAUAUUGUAUGAAUCUGAGGUUUGAGGUAUGAUUGAUCCCUUCAUCCAGGUACUGAUCAUAGUACCCAAGAGGUAGUUUUUCAACCCUUGCUCCCCUCUCUCCUUCCCUUCUCUAGGAGGUCCAGUGUCUAUUGCUGCCAUCUUUAUGUCCAUGAAUACCCACUGUUUAGCUCCUACUUAUAAGUGAGAACAUGUGGUAUUUGGUUUUCUGUUUCUGCAUUAAUUCGCUUAGGAUGAUGGCCUCCAGCUUCCUCCAUGUUGUUGCAAAAGAUAUGAUAUUGUUCUUUUUUAUGGUUGUGUAGUGGUCUAUAUAUAUAUAUAUAUAUAUAUAUGGACACUAUAUGUGUGUAUGUGUAUAUCUAUCUAUCUGUCUAUCUAUCUAUCUAUCUAUCUAUCUAUCUAUCUAUCUCUCUAUCUCACAUUUUCUUUAUUCAGUCCACUGCUGAUGGGCACCUGGGUUGUUUCCAUGUCUUUGCUAUUGUGAAUAGCUCUGCAAUGAACAGACAAGUGCAUAUGUCCUUUUGGUAGAAUAAUUUAUUGUCCUUUGAGUAUAUACCCAGUAAUGGGAUUGCUGGGUUGAAUGGUAGUUCAACUCUUAGUUCUUCGAGAAAUCUCAAAACUGCUUUCCAGGUGGCUGAACUAAUUUACGUACCCACCAACAGUGCAUAAGUGUUCCCUUUCCUCAACAGCCUCACCAGCAUCUGUUGCUUUUUGACUUUUUAAAAAUAGCUAUUCUGACUCGCAUGAGAUGGUAUCUUAUGGUUUUGAUUUGCAUUUUCUCUGAUGCUUAGUGAUGUGGAGCAUUUUUUCAUAUGUUUUUUGGCUACUUGUAUGUCUUCUUUUGAGAAGUGUUCAUGUUUUUUGCCCAUUUAUUGAUGGGGUUAUUUGUUCAAUUGUUUUAUGUCUUUAUAGAUUCUGGAUAUUAGACCUUUGUCAGAUGCACAGUUUGCAAAUAUUUUCUCCCAUUCUGUGUGUUGUCUGUUGAUAAUUUCUUUUGUUGUGCAGAAGCUCUUUAGUUUAACUAGGUGCCACUUGUCAAUUUUUGUUUUAAUUGCAAUUAAAAGCAUGAGUUUUCAUAUAUUAAGGGCUCACUAAGCAUUCAUUAUGAUUAAUGUAAAAGACUUGCACCCAGACAUUCAUUGUAGCUUGAAGUUUCUGAAAGUUACAU